UAGAAUGUAGUGUAGGAGGUAGCACGAAGAAUUUUGAGUUCUUAAGUUUAGGUUCGAGCCCUAUGAUUCUAG
rnacentral:tRNA from 1 species